CCUACGGGAUGCAGCAGUGGGGAAUAUUGGUCACUGGGCGCAAGCCUGACCCAGCAACGCCGCGUGAAGGAAGAAGGCUUUCGGGUUGUAAACUUCUUUUCUCAGGGACGAAUAAAGUGACGGUACCUGAGGAAUAAGCCACGGCUAACUACGGGCCAUCAGCCGGGGUAAUACGUAGUUGGCAAGCGUUAUCCGGAUUUAUUGGGUGUAAAGGGCUUGUAGGCGGGGGCGCAAGUCAGAUGUGAAAACUCAGGGCUCAACCCUGAGCCUGCCUUUGAAACUGUGUUUCUUGAGUGCGGGAGAGGUAAUCGGAAUGCGGGGUGUAGCGGUGAAAUGCGUAGAUAUACGGAGGAACACCAGUGGCGAAGGCGGAUUGCUGGACAGUAACUGACGCUGAGGCGCGAAAGCGUGGGGAGCAAACAGGAUUAGAUACCCUAGUAGUC
rnacentral:rRNA from 1 species